rnacentral:rRNA from 1 species
CCAAUAGCGUAUAUUAAAGUUGUUGCAGUUAAAAAGCUCGUAGUUGAAUUUCGGGGCCAGUAGGUUGGUCGUGCCAAUGGUAUGCACUGGCCUCACUGGUUCCUCCUUCUUGAAGAACCGUAAUGUCAUUAAUUUGGUGUUGCGGGGAAACAGGACUGUUACUUUGAAAAAAUUAGAGUGCUUAAAGCAGGCUAACGCUUGAAUACAUUAGCAUGGAAUAAUGAAAUAGGACGUUCGGUCUUAUUUUGUUGGUUUCUAGGAUUGACGUAAUGAUUAAUAGGGAUAGUUGGGGGCAUUAGUAUUCAAUUGUCAGAGGUGAAAUUCUUGGAUUUAUUGAAGACUAACUACUGCGAAAGCAUUUGCCAAGGAUGUUUUCAUUAAUCAAGAACGAAAGUUAGGGGAUCGAAGACGAUCAGAUUCCGUCGUAGUCUUAACCAUAAACUAUGCCGACUAGGGAUCGGAUGAUGUUAAUUUUUUAAUGACUCAUUCGGCGCCUUACG